AAAAGAAACUAACWWGGAUUCCCCUAGUAACGGCGAGUGAAGCGGGAAGAGCUCAAAUUUGUAAUCUGGCACUUUCAGUGUCCGAGUUGUAAUCUCGAGAAGUGUUUUCCGCGCCAGACCGCAUACAAGUCUGUUGGAAUACAGCGUCAUAGUGGUGAGAACCCCGUAACUGAUGCGGAUGCCUGGUGCUCUGUGAUACACUUUCGAAGAGUCGAGUUGUUUGGGAAUGCAGCUCAAAUUGGGUGGUAAAUUCCAUCUAAAGCUAAAUAUUGGCGAGAGACCGAUAGCGAACAAGUACCGUGAGGGAAAGAUGAAAAGCACUUUGGAAAGAGAGUUAACAGUACGUGAAAUUGUUGGAAGGGAAACGCUUGAAGUCAGACUUGCUAUUUGGAAUUCAGCCGCAAGGUGUAUUUUUCAAUUCGCAGGCCAGCAUCAGUUUUUGGGGGUGGAAAAGGGUAGAGAGAAGGUAGCAACUCCGGUUGUGUUAUAGCUCUUUGCUGGAUUCAUCCUUGGGGACUGAGGAACGCAGCACGCUUUUGCAAGGCUUUCGAGCUUUCGUGCUUAGAUGCC
rnacentral:rRNA from 1 species